CCAUGGACACACCCUUUAAUGAAACCUCAAGAUGUUCACAAUUUAACAUCGCAAAGGCCUUUAGAUUAGACUGACCAAAAAAAAUUAUAAAAUGUCAUAAAAUUUCUAGGAGUAGUUUGUUACGGCGUAAAACAUGUCACUUCCUGUUGCCAGCAGGUGGCGCUAUAACGAUAACUGAAUAUGGGCAUGUAGAUAUGUUCAGGUCAGGAGUCUUCUCAAACAUGUGAAGUUUGGGGCAGAUUGGACAUUGUAUGUCUGAGUUAUAGCAACUUCCUUUCUCAUGGCGAAACAUCGAAAUUUGUAAGGCCGCCACAGACACACCCUUAAACGAAACCUCAAGAUCUUCGAAAUUUAACAUCGCAAAGGCCUUUAGAUUA
ensembl:lncRNA